rnacentral:misc_RNA from 1 species
GCAUAAGCACCUUUGUACUUUUUCCAGUUUUACGUUCACGUUCUGUUCACAUUACAAUUAAGGGUAGCUUUUCAUUAACUAAGAAAACUCCACGAGUCGUGAUCAUCAAUGUGAUCAUAAGAAACAGACCAAUCCUUGAUGGAUUGAAAUGACAACAUAACAAAAGAACAUUCUCUGGGAACAGAUCUUUAAUUUCCAAAAAGUACCACAUAUAUACCAUCAAUUUUACUCACAUGACAAUCUCUGGCUCCAGAAUGCUGGAUUUUAUCUCUUUAUGGGGUAGAACAACACCACCGUUGCUAUAAACUUCGUCGCCAACAUGAACAUCUUCUCCCAAGAUUGACAUGUUCUCUACCCGAGCCCACCUCCCAACAGUUGAGUGCCAUCCAACAAUGCUACUUGAGAUACAAGCAUGGUUCUUAACUCGUACACCACGCAUUAUACUACAACGUGAAAGCCUAACUCCUGAUUCAAUAACACAUCCAGGGCCAAUAGCCACAUCUGGACCGAUAAGACAUCCAUCUCCUAUUACAGCACUCUCGUCUAUUAAAACAUUUCCAAGAAUGUGGUGUCCAACAGCCAGAUCAGGAGAGGAAAUUUUCCGCAAGGAAUCUAGGUAUAAUCUCAAGCCUGUUAUGUAAUCCCUUGGCUGACCAAUGUCCAUCCAAAAGCCAGGGAGGACCAUGGCAUGGAGCUGCUUCUCUGCUGCAAUGCUGGGGAAGACUUCCUUCUCGAUUGAGGUGGGUCUCAACUGAAUCCGGUCCAAAACAGAAGGGUUCAACAAGUAGAUUCCAGCAUUGAUCUUGUUACCCACGAACACCUUUGGUUUUUCUACAAACUUUUCAACUCUCCCAGUCGCUUCU